CAUCACCCACUUAAAGGCAUUCAGAGAGCUGCUGAAGCAACCAGACUUAGAGGGACCAAGAUUCUGGAACGAUGUUGAGAGCGAGAGAGCACAAACCAAGAAGAGCUUCAUAGUCCAAAAGACUGAAGACAUAGAGAACUCACUUGAGCUCCUCAUCGACAGAGGGAUUUUGAAAAUGCUAAUUCAGCUCUGUAUGAACUGUAAAACCUCAUGGCCCAAUAUCUAAAAAAAAAAAAUUUGUCAUCA